rnacentral:rRNA from 1 species
GGCGAAAAGAACCCCGGCGAGGGGAGUGAAAAAGAACCUGAAACCGUGUACGUACAAGCAGUGGGAGCCUCUUAAUGGGGUGACUGCGUACCUUUUGUAUAAUGGGUCAGCGACUUAUAUUCUGUAGCAAGGUUAACCGAAUAGGGGAGCCGAAGGGAAACCGAGUCUUAACUGGGCGUUAAGUUGCAGGGUAUAGACCCGAAACCCGGUGAUCUAGCCAUGGGCAGGUUGAAGGUUGGGUAACACUAACUGGAGGACCGAACCGACUAAUGUUGAAAAAUUAGCGGAUGACUUGUGGCUGGGGGUGAAAGGCCAAUCAAACCGGGAGAUAGCUGGUUCUCCCCGAAAGCUAUUUAGGUAGCGCCUCGUGAAUUCAUCUCCGGGGGUAGAGCACUGUUUCGGCAAGGGGGUCAUCCCGACUUACCAACCCGAUGCAAACUGCGAAUACCGGAGAAUGUUAUCACGGGAGACACACGGCGGGUGCUAACGUCCGUCGUGAAGAGGGAAACAACCCAGACCGCCAGCUAAGGUCCCAAAGUCAUGGUUAAGUGGGAAACGAUGUGGGAAGGCCCAGACAGCCAGGAUGUUGGCUUAGAAGCAGCCAUCAUUUAAAGAAAGCGUAAUAGCUCACUGGUCGAGUCGGCCUGCGCGGAAGAUGUAACGGGGCUAAACCAUGCACCGAAGCUGCGGCAGCGACACUAUGUGUUGUUGGGUAGGGGAGCG